rnacentral:rRNA from 1 species
GACGAACGCUGGCGGCGUGCUUAACACAUGCAAGUCGAACGAAGUGGCGAACGGGUGAGUAAUACGUGGGUAACCUGCCUUUCACAGGGGAAUAACACUGGGAAACCAGUGCUAAUACCGCAUAGUGAAAGAUGGCCUCGCGCCUGAUUAGCUAGUAGGUGAGGUAACGGCUCACCUAGGUGAUGAUCAGUAGCCGGACUGAAGGUUGAUCGGCCGCAUUGGGACUGAGACACGGCCCAGACUCCUACGGGAGGCAGCAGUGGGGAAUAUUGGGCAAUGGCGCAAGCCUGACCCAGCAACGCCGCGUGAAGGAAGACGGUCUUCGGAUUGUAAACUUCUUUAGACAGGGACGCGGUACCUGUAGAAUAAGCCACGGCUAACUACGUGCCAGCAGCCGCGGUAAUUC